rnacentral:rRNA from 1 species
GACGAACGCUGGCGGCGCGCCUAACACAUGCAAGUCGAACGGGGUCUUUUAGGAAGCUUGCUUCCUGGCUGACCUAAUGGCGGACGGGUGAGUAACACGUGAGCAACCUGCCGAAGAGUGGGGGAUAACGCUUGGAAACGAACGCUAAUACCGCAUAACAUCGGGGAAAGGCAUCUUUUUCCGAUCAAAGGAGCAAUCCGCUUUUUGAUGGGCUCGCGCCCGAUUAGAUAGUUGGUGCGGUAACGGCUCACCAAGUCGACGAUCGGUAGCCGGACUGAGAGGUUGAACGGCCACAUUGGGACUGAGACACGGCCCAGACUCCUACGGGAGGCAGCAGUGGGGAAUAUUGCACAAUGGGGGAAACCCUGAUGCAGCGACGCCGCGUGGGUGAAGACGGCCUUCGGGUUGUAAAGCCCUGUCUUCGGGGACGAUAAUGACGGUACCCGAGGAGGAAGCCACGGCUAACUACGUGCCAGCCGCCGCCGUAAAAC